UACAGAGGUCCCAAGCGUUAUUCGGAAUUACUGGGCUUAAAGGGUACGUAGGCGGCGCUGUCAGUCGGGUGUGAAAUCCCAGGGCUCAACCCUGGAACUGCGCCCGAUACUGCAGUGCUUGAGGGAGACAGAGGUAAGCGGAACUGAUGGUGGAGCGGUGAAAUGCGUUGAUAUCAUCAGGAACACCAGUGGCGAAAGCGGCUUACUGGGUCUCUUCUGACGCUGAGGUACGAAAGCCAGGGGAGCGAAGGGG
rnacentral:rRNA from 1 species